rnacentral:hammerhead_ribozyme from 1 species
GGCCAGCUGACGAGUCCACAAUAGAACGAAACACGCGUCCUGCGU